UACAGAGGUCUCAAGCGUUGUUCGGAUUCAUUGGGCGUAAAGGGUGUGUAGGUGGCGCCGUAAGUCGGGUGUGAAUUUCGGAGCUUAACUCCGAAACUGCAUUCGAUACUGCGGUGCUUGAGGACUGGAGAGGAGACUGGAAUUUACGGUGUAGCGGUGAAAUGCGUAGAUAUCGUGAAGGAAGACCAGUGGCGAAGGCGGGU
rnacentral:rRNA from 1 species